AAAGACUUAAGUUAAUAAAACUAAAAACCUUCAAAGUUUAAAAUAGAUGUUAAACCCUCUAGACUUUA
rnacentral:tRNA from 1 species